rnacentral:rRNA from 1 species
AGUCGAACGCGUUGGCCCAAUUGAUUGAUGGUGCUUGCACCUGAUUGAUUUUGGUCGCCAACGAGUGGCGGACGGGUGAGUAACACGUAGGUAACCUGCCCAGAAGCGGGGGACAACAUUUGGAAACAGAUGCUAAUACCGCAUAACAGCGUUGUUCGCAUGAACAACGCUUAAAAGAUGGCUUCUCGCUAUCACUUCUGGAUGGACCUGCGGUGCAUUAGCUUGUUGGUGGGGUAAUGGCCUACCAAGGCGAUGAUGCAUAGCCGAGUUGAGAGACUGAUCGGCCACAAUGGGACUGAGACACGGCCCAUACUCCUACGGGAGGCAGCAGUAGGGAAUCUUCCACAAUGGGCGCAAGCCUGAUGGAGCAACACCGCGUGAGUGAAGAAGGGUUUCGGCUCGUAAAGCUCUGUUGUUAAAGAAGAACACGUAUGAGAGUAACUGUUCAUACGUUGACGGUAUUUAACCAGAAAGUCACGGCUAACUACGUGCCAGCAGCCGCGGUAAUACGUAGGUGGCAAGCGUUAUCCGGAUUUAUUGGGCGUAAAGAGAGUGCAGGCGGUUUUCUAAGUCUGAUGUGAAAGCCUUCGGCUUAACCGGAGAAGUGCAUCGGAAACUGGAUAACUUGAGUGCAGAAGAGGGUAGUGGAACUCCAUGUGUAGCGGUGGAAUGCGUAGAUAUAUGGAAGAACACCAGUGGCGAAGGCGGCUACCUGGUCUGCAACUGACGCUGAGACUCGAAAGCAUGGGUAGCGAACAGGAUUAGAUACCCUGGUAGUCCAUGCCGUAAACGAUGAGUGCUAGGUGUUGGAGGGUUUCCGCCCUUCAGUGCCGGAGCUAACGCAUUAAGCACUCCGCCUGGGGAGUACGACCGCAAGGUUGAAACUCAAAGGAAUUGACGGGGGCCCGCACAAGCGGUGGAGCAUGUGGUUUAAUUCGAAGCUACGCGAAGAACCUUACCAGGUCUUGACAUCUUGCGCCAACCCUAGAGAUAGGGCGUUUCCUUCGGGAACGCAAUGACAGGUGGUGCAUGGUCGUCGUCAGCUCGUGUCGUGAGAUGUUGGGUUAAGUCCCGCAACGAGCGCAACCCUUGUUACUAGUUGCCAGCAUUAAGUUGGGCACUCUAGUGAGACUGCCGGUGACAAACCGGAGGAAGGUGGGGACGACGUCAGAUCAUCAUGCCCCUUAUGACCUGGGCUACACACGUGCUACAAUGGACGGUACAACGAGUCGCGAACUCGCGAGGGCAAGCAAAUCUCUUAAAACCGUUCUCAGUUCGGACUGCAGGCUGCAACUCGCCUGCACGAAGUCGGAAUCGCUAGUAAUCGCGGAUCAGCAUGCCGCGGUGAAUACGUUCCCGGGCCUUGUACACACCGCCCGUCACACCAUGAGAGUUUGUAACACCCAAAGUCGGUGGGGUA